rnacentral:lncRNA from 1 species
AUCUGAUCGCUGAAUUUGCCCAAGUCACAAAUUGGUCCAGCUGCUGCUUGCGUGUCUUUGCAUGGCACCCCCACACCAACAAGUUUGCAGUGGCCCUGCUAGAUGACUCAGUCCGUGUGUAUAAUGCCAGCAGGUGUGUGUGGGGACACCAGGUGGGCUCUGACUUGUCAAUAUCACCUUCCCUUGCCAGCCUUGGUUCCGGGGAGUCCUGUAGUUCUUGAACCUGAUUCAUGGGGCUCCUUCCAGAACUGGGGUCAGGGAAGCUCCAUAACUGGAUGCGUGCUUCUUCUAGACCUAACCUUUAUCCCCUCCUGUCCUAUGGUGCCCCUGGCCCCUGGAUGGAUCAUCCUUCUUCUCUGUGGCUUUCCCUCCUUAACUGCACUCUGGUCCCUGGAGCCUUAGUGUUCCUGCCUUGACUCAGUUUCCUGCCCCUUCACCCUAGCACCAUAGUCCCCUCCCUGAAGCACCGGCUGCAGCGAAAUGUGGCGUCUCUGGCCUGGAAGCCCCUUAGUGCCUCUGUCUUGGCUGUGGCCUGCCAGAGCUGCAUUCUUAUCUGGACCCUGGACCCUACCUCCUUGUCUACCCGACCCUCUUCUGGCUGUGCCCAAGUGCUGUCUCACCCUGGGCAUACACCUGUUACCAGCUUGGCCUGGGCCCCCAGUGGGGGGCGGCUGCUCUCAGCUUCACCCGUGGAUGCUGCUAUCCGGGUAUGGGAUGUCUCAACAGAGACCUGUGUCCCCCUUCCCUGGUUCCGAGGAGGUGGGGUGACCAACCUGCUCUGGUCCCCAGACGGCAGCAAAAUCCUGGCUACCACUCCUUCAGCUGUCUUUCG